AAUAGCUAGGCGAAGGAACUGCUUCUCUUUCAUUCAUAUAUAGGCUUCGUUUGGGAUUGCGGGGAGAUUGCGUUACGUGCGGUGAUCGAGAAAGUACGUUCGAAAAAUACCCUGUUUGUUUCCAUACGUAAUAUUGCGUUCAGCAUAUCGCGAUGAGUUGGUUAUGAUAUAUAUUUUCUACGAUUCGACCGGAGAACGCAGAAACAUAUUCCUAUAUGCUUUUUUCUCAACUCUAUUUUAUCUAAUAGCGUUAGAUAGAUCUCAAUACCAAACUAAGCCAUAUAUAGAUUGAGAGCCAAUCAAACCUAUAAAUAAACUGUGAAGUAAUCAAAUCUAUAAUAGUUUGACGUAUAAUAAGCAUUAGCUGAUGAUCAAAUUGAUAUAGUGCUUAACAUGAAUUACUACCGUCGAGCCAAAAUCUUAUUGAAUAUUAUUAGUUACAAAUUGAAUCAAACCGAAAUUUUCCUAUUCCGUUCGAUUCAAUUUACUCACGACUCAGGUUUAUUUAAAUACAUAUACAUAUAUUCUAAAAUAAAACUGAUAAACUGACCGAUAAGCUAGCGUUUGAUUCGGGGUUAGGUGAAAACUUGUUAUUUUAUGGAUAGAGUUAAAUUCAGGGUUAAGGUGGGAUUAAAAUAAUUUUGUGUUUGGUUGAAAAUUGGGUUUAGUCCAAAUAUAGAUAAAAUAGUGUUUGGUUAGAGUAGGUGAUAUAAAAAGGAUAGUGGGUAAAAUAGUGUUUUGUUUUGUUGGAGUAGUGGGGUGGA
rnacentral:lncRNA from 1 species